AGUAUCAUUAAGUGAAUACAUAGCUUAAUGAGGGGAACUCAGGGAACUGAAACAUCUAAGUACCUGAAGGAAGAGAAAGAAAUUCGAUUCCGUAAGUAGCGGCGAGCGAACGCGGAUUAGCCCAAACCAAUAAAGUUUUCUUUAUUGGGGUUGCGGACAUAUCAUAACGAAGAGGUAUCGUAAUUGAAGAGGUUUGGAAAGACCCACCACAGAAGGUAAUAGUCCUGUAUGUUAAACGAGAAGACUUUAGAUAUGAUCCAGAGUACCACGGGACACGUGAAACCCUGUGGGAAGCAGGAGGGACCACCCUCCAAGGCUAAAUACUACCUAGUGACCGAUAGCGUAUAGUACCGUGAGGGAAAGGUGAAAAGAACCCCGGGAGGGGAGUGAAAUAGAACCUGAAACCCUGCACUUACAAGCUGUGGAAGCACAUUUCUUGUGUGACCGCGUACUUUUUGUAGAACGGGCCAACGAGUUACGUUAAGUAGCAAGGUUAAGCACUUAAGGUGUGGAGCCGUAGCGAAAGCGAGUUUUAACUGAGCGUUCAGUUACUUGACGUAGACCCGAAACCGGGCGACCUACCCAUGAGCAGGAUGAAGCGAAAGUAAAAUUUCGGGGAGGUCCGAACCCACGAGCGUUGAAAAGCUCGGGGAUGACUUGGGGGUAGCGGUGAAAUUCCAAUCGAGCCCGGAGAUAGCUGGUUCUCCCCGAAAUAGCUUUAGGGCUAGCCUCAAGGUGAGAGAUACGGAGGUAGAGCACUGAAUGUCCUAGGGGGUAUUGCACCUACCGAAGACUAUCAAACUCCGAAUGCCGUCAUCUUAUACUUGGGAGUCAGACUGUGGGUGAUAAGAUUCAUAGUCGAAAGGGCAACAGCCCAGAUCGUCAGCUAAGUUCCAUAAAUGUAAGUUAAGUGGUAAAGGAUGUGGGAUGGCAAAGACAAAGAGGAGGUUGACUUGGAAGCAGACACUCAUUAAAAGAGAGGGUAAUAGCUCACUGGUCGAGUGAUCCUGCGCCGAAGAU
rnacentral:rRNA from 1 species